GAUGACCUCUCACCGCCUUGGCAGCGUCAGGCCACCGCGACCGAGGCCACUGGGCGCGCAAAGCAUAGGUUGCCACCGCGUCCGCGGGAGCGACACAGGUGUAGGGUGAAGGCUGGGCGAGUGCGGGCUGAGCGCGGAGAGGGCGCCGCAGCGCCUGACGUGGGUGUGGUGGACAACGCCAAUGUUUUGUGAAACUUUAUAUGGGGAUGUUCUGUGAUUAGAGAAAUGAUUGCCAUUCCGUUUACUCACAGCCCCAAUGAGUUGUGCAGAAAAGCCAACAGUACUCCAAGUUCAUGAAUUAUUAUAACCAUAAAUACUAAGAAAGAAGACAGCAUUCUCAGAAUGAUUAGUACAAUGUAAUAGAAAAAAUGUAAAUAAGAUAUGAAAGUCAACCUAAAGAGAUAGUUGUUGAAGGUUAAUCAAUGUCUUUUUAAAUAUCUUACAGUCUUCCAUCAAAGUAGUCAAUUAUUGGUAACCUGAAAAUGUUUUCUUAUUUAAUUAUCUGAACUAUUUUUACCACCUCUCACUGCUCUUGAUAGUCUGAGAUCUGAAUGCUGGCUGUUGGUCUGUCUGUGGAUAUUUUCUGAAGUUGCUAUGACUUAAUUUUCCAGGCAUACUAUUUAACAUAUUCAAACACCCCCCCCCCACACACACACACAUACACACACAUACCCCACACACAUCCGACUUUUUUAUGGGCGUGUGUUCUGUGUAGUGGCAUAGAGGCCCAUGUAGUGCUUAGAAGGGCUCCCUGCUUGAAACAAGCAAUGCUCUGCUGUCUUGAAAUUCUUAAUUGUUUUUGGACAAGGGCUCUCUCGUUUUCACUUUGCACUAGGCCCUGCAAAUUCUGUAACUACGUGCGUACAAACACACGUUAAGCUACACAUUGUAGAUAACGGUGCAUAUCUUCAAGGUGGCUUCAGUCUGGUGGGAGAUCAGAAGUUAGAAGUGUAAUUUCAAAGAUAAAAGAAUGUUAUAAAAAGGAAAGGACAAGAUGAACUUCAAACCAGGGAUUUUAAGGCAAUCUAGACAGACUCACUUGAAAAAUUAGUGAAACUAGGGUCUAGAAAAGAUUCAUGUACUUGGUUAGAGGGAAAAUGGCUAUAAUGAAUAACCUUCCAUUUAAAUCAGAUUUAUUUGUUUUUCAAGCCUGACCAUGAGGACAAAUUUUAUCAAAUUUUAUCAAAUGACCAAUGAGCAUGUUUACAUGGUUGUGUUUUUUCCUUGUUGCAUUUCUAAAUAGACCACAAAUUUACCAUAAUGCUAAAUUCUAGUUGCUAAUAUUUAGCAUAGAAUUUUUCAAUUACAUUCAUAAUUGGUAUGUUUGUUUUUCAUAUUAUAUUUAACUGAGUUUGGACUAUUUUUGUCAGAUCCUCUUAGCUUUAUAAAGGGAUGUGGGAAUUCCCUUGUUUUUUGUUUAAAGAAACUGUAACUGUUUAAGCAUUUUAUAAACUAUUUCUGGGUAGUUGAUUAGAGUUCCACAAUAAAACAUGCCUCUUUAAUAGGAGGAAGCCCAGGGAUAGGAGGAGAAUGCCAGUUUCAAACAUUGUAAGAGUGAAAAUAAAAAGGAUUCCUUUGAAGGC